GGGGAUUUAGCUCAGCGGCAUAAGCACCUGCCUUGCAAGCAGGUGGUCGUGAGUUCAAUCCCCA
rfam:Cavia porcellus supercont2_1 genomic scaffold, whole genome shotgun sequence.